GUCCGGUGAAGUGUUCGGAUCGCGGCGACGUGAGCGGUCCGCCGCCCGCGACGUCGCGAGAAGUCCACUGAACCUUAUCAUUUAGAGGAAGGAGAAGUCGUAACAAGGUUUCCGUAGGUGAACCUGCGGAAGGAUCAUUGUCGAAACCUGCCCAGCAGAACGACCCGCGAAUCGUAGUCGAAACGCGCCGAGGGGCGCCUGGGCUUGCCCUCGCUCCCUCGGCACUCCGGGCAGGCGCCGAGGGGCCGCGCGCCCGCGGCGCCCGUCCGGAACAACAACGAACCCGGGCGCAGAAUGCGCCAAGGAAAACGGAACAGAGGAGGACCGCCCCGUGGCUCCCGACGAGGGCGCAGACGGGACGGCCCGCCCAAUAAAUGUCGCAAACCAAAACGACUCUCGGCAACGGAUAUCUCGGCUCUCGCAUCGAUGAAGAACGUAGCAAAAUGCGAUACGUGGUGUGAAUUGCAGAAUCCCGUGAACCAUCGAGUCUUUGAACGCAAGUUGCGCCCGAAGCCUUUCGGCCGAGGGCACGCCUGCCUGGGUGUCACACAACGUUGUCCCCCCGCCCCCCUCUCAUCGAGGGCGCAGGUGCGGGGACGGAUGCUGGCCUCCCGCGAGUCACCCCUUGCGGCUGGCCAAAAUGCGAGUCCAGGCGACAGGAGCCGCGGCGGCUAGUGGUUGAACGACCCUUGAGAACGGCCGCGGCCUCCCGUCCCCACGGCGGGCUACACGACCCGAGCGCGCUCGAUCGCGCGCUGCAACUGCGACCCCAGGUCAGGCGGGACCACCCGCUGAGUUUAAGCAUAUCAAUAAGCGGAGGAAAAGAAACUUACAAGGAUUCCCCUAGUAACGGCGAGCGAACCGGGGGG
rnacentral:rRNA from 1 species